GUGCCAGCAGCCGCGGUAAUACGUAGGGGGCAAGCGUUGUCCGGAUUUAUUGGGCGUAAAGCGCUCGCAGGUGGUCCGUCACGUCGUGCGUGAAAUACCCCGGCUCAACUGGGGGGCGUCGUGCGAUACGGGCGGACUGGAGGCCAGUAGGGGGAUGCGGAAUUCCGGGUGUAGUGGUGGAAUGCGUAGAGAUCCGGAGGAACACCAGCGGCGAAGGCGGCAUCCUGGACUGGUCCUGACACUCAUGAGCGAAAGCGUGGGGAGCGAUCCGGAUUAGAUACCCUAGUAGUCC
rnacentral:rRNA from 1 species